rnacentral:rRNA from 1 species
GACGAACGCUGGCGGCGUGCUUAACACAUGCAAGUCGAACGGAAAGGCCCUGCUUUUGUGGGGUGCUCGAGUGGCGAACGGGUGAGUAACACGUGAGUAACCUGCCCUUGACUUUGGGAUAACUUCAGGAAACUGGGGCUAAUACCGGAUAGGAGCUCCUGCUGCAUGGUGGGGGUUGGAAAGUUUCGGCGGUUGGGGAUGGACUCGCGGCUUAUCAGCUUGUUGGUGGGGUAGUGGCUUACCAAGGCUUUGACGGGUAGCCGGCCUUAGAGGGUGACCGGCCACAUUGGGACUGAGAUACGGCCCAGACUCCUACGGGAGGCAGCAGUGGGGAAUAUUGCACAAUGGGCGGAAGCCUGAUGCAGCAACGCCGCGUGCGGGAUGACGGCCUUCGGGUUGUAAACCGCUUUCGCCUGUGACGAAGCGUGAGUGACGGUAAUGGGUAAAGAAGCACCGGCUAACUACGUG